rnacentral:rRNA from 1 species
CCUACGGGGGGCUGCAGUGGGGAAUAUUGGACAAUGGGGGGAACCCUGAUCCAGCCAUGCCGCGUGUGUGAAGAAGGCCCUCGGGUUGUAAAGCACUUUCAGUGGGGAAGAACGCCUGGUGGUUAAUACCCAUCAGGAAAGACAUCACUCACAGAAGAAGCACCGGCUAACUCCGUGCCAGCAGCCGCGGUAAUACGGAGGGUGCGAGCGUUAAUCGGAAUUACUGGGCGUAAAGCGCGCGUAGGUGGCUUGAUAAGCCGGUUGUGAAAGCCCCGGGCUCAACCUGGGAACGGCAUCCGGAACUGUCAAGCUAGAGUGCAGGAGAGGAAGGUAGAACUCCAUGUGUAGCGGUGAAAUGCGUAGAGAUAGGGAGGAACACCAGUGGCGAAGGCGGCCUUCUGGCGUGACACUGACACUGAGGUGCGAAAGCGUGGGUAGCAAACAGGAUUAGAUACCCCUGUAGUC